GGGCUCGUAGUAUAGCUUGGAUAGUACAGGGGCCUCCGGAGCCUCUAACCCGGGUUCAAAUCCCGGCGGGUCCG
rnacentral:ncRNA from 15 species